rnacentral:lncRNA from 1 species
UUCUUGAGCAGGAGAUUCUUCUGAUCCUUUUGUAACUGAAAUGUGCUCUUGUGCUAAUCCAGUAAUAGUUCUGUUCACUUUUUGUUAAGCAGACUGUGUUGUUAACUAUGCAGCAAAUUUAAUUGCCUUUAUCUGGUUAUAUUUGCAUUUUGUCUAAUGUGAUGAUAUUGUCUGUUUGAAGGCUUUUUUUGUGUGUUAAAACCAGAAAGCUCUGUUUAUUUUUGGCUUGGGAUAGCCUUCUGUUAAUUUUGUACUAUAGGCUUGACAUAAUCUGCAGAGGAUAAAAUAAAAUCUGCCUCCAAAUUAAUUGCACUUUCAUGGAGACCAAAUCUAAGAAGUAUUGGUAUCGGUACUCGGUAUCGGCAAGUACACAAAUAAAAAUACUCGUACUCGUAUCGGUUUGUAAAAAAGUGGUAUCGUGCAUCCCUAAUGUGUAUGUGUGUACGUGUAUAUGUGUGUGUGUGUGUGUAUGUGUGAAUGUUUAUAUGUGUGUGUGUCUAUGUGUGUAUGUGUAUGUGUAUAUGUGUGUCCUCUUGUGUACGUGUAUAUCUGUGUGUGUAUGUGUGUAUAUGUGUGUGUGUGUAUGUGUGUGUGUGUAUAUGUGUGUGUAUGUAUGUGUGUGUGUGUGUGUGUGUGUGUUUAUAUGUGUGUGUGUAUGUGUGUGUGUGUGUGUGUGUAUGUGUGCGUGUUUCUAUAUGUGUGUGUGUAUGUGUGUGUGUGUGUAUGUGUGCGUGUGUACAUGUGUGUGUGCGUGUGUACAUGUGUGUGUGUGUGUGUAUGUGUGUGUGUGUGUAUGUGUGCGUGUUUCUAUGUGUGUGUGUGUAUGUGUGUGUGUGUGUAUGUGUGCGUGUGUACAUGUGUGUGUGCGUGUGUACAUGUGUGUGUGUGUGUGUAUGUGUGUGUGUGUGUAUGUGUGCGUGUUUAUAUGUGUGUGUGUGUAUGUGUGCGUGUGUACAUGUGUGUGCGCAUGUGUGCGUCUCUGUGUGCGGGGCGACUCCAGCCCUGGCUGUGGCCCUGUCUCUGGCGGCGAUAGAGCACCUCUGGCCGUGGUU